rnacentral:rRNA from 1 species
UACGGAGGGUGCGAGCGUUGUCCGGAAUCAUUGGGCGUAAAGGGCGCGUAGGUGGCCCGGUCAGUCCGUGGUGAAAGCGUGGGGCUCAACCCCGCGUCGGCCAUGGAUACUGCUGGGCUGGAGCACUGUAGAGGCAGGCGGAAUUCCGGGUGUAGCGGUGGAAUGCGUAGAGAUCCGGAAGAACACCGGUGGCGAAGGCGGCCUGCUGGGCAGUUGCUGGACACUGAGGCACGAAGGCCAGGGGAGCAAACGGG